UUCCGGUUGAUCCUGCCGGACCUGACUGCUAUCGGAUUGAUACUAAGCCAUGCGAGUCUUUGUAGUAAUACAAGGCAGACGGCUCAGUAACGCGUAGUCAACCUACCCUAUGGACGGGAAUAAUCUCGGGAAACUGAGCAUAAUACCCGGCGUACCACCAUUCCUGGAAUGGUUGGUGGUUAAAAUGAUUCGUCGCCAUAGGAUGGGACUGCGGCCUAUCAGCUUGUUGGUGAGGUAAUGGCCCACCAAGGCGAUUACAGGUACGGGCUCUGAGAGGAGAAGCCCGGAGAUGGGUACUGAGACAAGGACCCAGGCCCUAUGGGGCGCAGCAGGCGAGAAAACUUUGCAAUGUGCGAAAGCACGACAAGGUUAAUCCGAGUGAUUUCUGCUAAAGAAAUCUUUUGCAAGUCAUAAAACCACUAGUGAAUAAGGGGUGGGCAAGUUCUGGUGUCAGCCGCCGCGGUAAAACCAGCACCUCAAGUGGUCAGGAGGAUUAUUGGGCCUAAAGCAUCCGUAGCCGGCUCUGUAAGUUUUCGGUUAAAUCCAUGUGCUCAACGCAUGGGCUGCCGAAAAUACUGCAUAGCUAGGGAGUGGGAGAGGUAGACGGUACUCGGUAGGAAGGGGUAAAAUCCUUUGAUCUAUCGAUGACCACCUGUGGCGAAGGCGGUCUACCAGAACACGUUCGACGGUGAGGGAUGAAAGCUGGGGGAGCAAACCGGAUUAGAUACCCGGGUAGUCCCAGCUGUAAACGAUGCAGACUCGAUGAUGCAUUGGCAUAUAGCCAGUGCAGUGUCGCAGGGAAGCCGUUAAGUCUGCCGCCUGGGAAGUACGUACGCAAGUAUGAAACUUAAAGGAAUUGGCGGGGGAGCACCACAAGGGGUGAAGCCUGCGGUUCAAUUGGAUUCAACGCCGG
rnacentral:rRNA from 1 species